UACGUAGGGGGCAAGCGUUGUCCGGAAUUAUUGGGCGUAAAGAGCGUGUAGGCGGCCAUGCAGGUCCGUUGUGAAACUCGAGGCUCAACCUCGAGCGCCGAUGGAAACCGCAUGGCUAGAGUCCGGAAGAGGAGAGUGGAAUUCCUGGUGUAGCGGUGAAAUGCGUAGAUAUCAGGAGGAACACCUGUGGUGUAGACGGCUCUCUGGACAGUAACUGACGCGAGACACGAAAGCGUGGGUAGCAAACAGG
rnacentral:rRNA from 1 species